rnacentral:rRNA from 1 species
CGCGUACACUACCUACCUUACACAGGGGAAUAGCCUUUGGAAACGAAGAUUAAUGCCCCCAUAGUAUCGCGAGAUUAAAGCUUCGGCGGUGUAAGAUGGGUGUGCGUGCCAUUAGAUAGUUGGUGAGGUAACGGCUCACCAAGUCCACGAUGGCUAAGGGGCGUGAGAGCGUGAACCCUCACACGGGGUACUGAGACACGGGACCCGACUCCUACGGGAGGCAGCAGUAAGGAAUAUUGGUCAAUGGACGCAAGUCUGAACCAGCCAUCCCGCGUGCAGGAUGACUGCCCUAUGGGUUGU